rnacentral:rRNA from 1 species
UACGUAGGUGGCAAGCGUUGUCCGGAUUUACUGGGCGUAAAGGAUGCGUAGGCGGACAUUUAAGUCAGAUGUGAAAUACCCGAGCUUAACUUGGGUGCUGCAUUUGAAACUGGGUGUCUAGAGUGCAGGAGAGGUAAGUGGAAUUCCUAGUGUAGCGGAUGAAAUGCGUAGAUAAUUGGAAGACCACCGAUGGCGAAGGCU